rnacentral:tRNA from 1 species
ACUAUAGAAGCUAAACAGGACAGCACUAACCUUUUAAGUUAGAGAAGAGAAACACCCGCCUCUCCUUAGUG